rnacentral:tRNA from 1 species
ACUUAAAUAGCUUAUUGUAAGAGCGUAAUAUUGAAGAUAUUAAGGAAAUAGAAUAUUUUUAAGUA